CCCGACCGUAGCUGCUACCUUGACGUGGUGGUCGGUUUUGCCUAUCGUGAUGACCCAACCGAGCUAUAUUGGCUGGAGCAUAUAUACCUGUAAGUUUUACCAUGCCAGACAGGUCGAUUGGAGAAUGGUAAGACCAGAAGCAGC
rnacentral:ribozyme from 1 species